AUGCUUUAUGUAAUGACUAGUCUGAUUUGGAAAAGGUCAGUUUUCAUUCCAAUUGCAAAGAAAGGCAAUGCCAAAGAAUGCUCAAACUACCGCACAAUUGCACUCAUCUCACAUGCUAGUAAAGUAACGCUCAAAAUUCUCCAAGCCAGGCUUCAGCAAUACGUAAACUGUGAACUUCCUGAUGUUCAAGCUGGUUUUAGAAAAGGCAGAGGAACCAGAGAUCAAAUUGACAACAUCCAAUGGAUCAUCAAAAAAGCAAGAGAGUUCCAGAAAAACAUCUAUUUCUGCUUUAUUGAGUAUGCCAAAGCCUUUGACUGUGUGGAUCACAAUAAACUGUGGAGAAUUCUGAAAGAGAUGGGAAUACCAGACCACCUAACGUGCCUCUUGAGAAAUCUGUAUGCAGGUCAGGAAGCAACAGUUAGAACUGGACAUGGAACAACAGACUGGUUCCAAAUAGGGAAAGGAAUAUGUCAAGACUGUAUAUUGUCACCCUGCUUAUUUAACUUAUAUGCAGAGUACAUCAUGAGAAACGCUGGACUGGAAGAAACACAAGCUGGAAUCAAGAUUACCGGGAGAAAUAUCAAUAACCUCAGAUAUGCAGAUGACACCACCCUUAUGGCAGAAAGUGAAGAGGAACUAAAAAGCCUCUUGAUGAAAGUGAAAGAAGAGACUGAAAAAGUUGGCUUAAAGCUCAACAUUCAGAAAAUGAAGAUCAUGGCAUCUGGUCCCAUCACUUCAUGGGAAAUAGAUGGGGAAACAGUGCAAACAGUGGAAACAGUGUCAGAUUUUAUUUUUUGGGGCUCCAAAAUCACUGCAGAUGGUGACUGCAGCCAUGAAAUUAAAAGACACUUACUCCUUGGAAGAAAAGUUAUGACCAACCUAGCUGGUGCAUUCAAAAGCAGAGACAUUACUUUGCCGACUAAGGUCCAUCUAGUCAAGGCUAUGGUUUUUCCAGUAGUCAUGUAUGGAUGUGAGAGUUGGACUGUGAAGAAGGCUGAGCGCCGAAGAAUUAAUGCUUUUGAAGUGUGGUGUUGGAGAAGACUCUUGGGAGUCCCUUAG
rnacentral:lncRNA from 1 species